UACAGAGGUGGCAAGCGUUGUUCGGAAUUACUGGGCGUAAAGGGCGCGUAGGCGGUUCGGUAAGUCCUGUGUGAAAUCCCCUCGGCUCAACUGAGGAACUGCACGGGAGACUGCCGGGCUUGAGUUCGGGAGAGGUGAGUGGAAUUCCUAGUGUAGAGGUGAAAUUCGUAGAUAUUAGGAAGAACACCAGUGGCGAAGGCGGCUCACUGGCCCGGUACUGACGCUGAGGCGCGAAAGCGUGGGGAGCAAACAGG
rnacentral:rRNA from 1 species